UAAUUUUAUGAAGCUAUAAAAUUUUUUUUUAAACUAGGAUUAGAUACCCUAUUAUUUAAAAUUUAAAUUAAUGAUACUAAGGUAGUAAGAGUUACAUUCUUGAAACUUAAAAAAUUUGGCGGUAUUUUAGUCUAUUUAGAGGAACCUGUUCCGUAAUUGAUAUGCCACAAUAAAUUUUACUAAUUUUAUAUAGUUUGUAUAUCGUCGUUAUCAGAAUAUUUUGUAAGAAUUUAAAUAUUCAUAAAUUUUAAAUAAAAUUUAUUUCAGAUCAAGGUGCAGCUUAUAAAUUAGAGGUAAUGGGUUAC
rnacentral:rRNA from 1 species